rnacentral:rRNA from 1 species
UACGGGGGGAGCAAGCGUUGUUCGGAUUUACUGGGCGUAAAGGGCGCGUAGGCGGCCUCUGCAAGUCGACUGUGAAAUCUCCGGGCUUAACCCGGAAAGGUCAGCCGAUACUGCAGGGCUAGAGUGCAGAAGGGGCAACUGGAAUUCUCGGUGUAGCGGUGAAAUGCGCAGAUAUCGGGAGGAACACCAAUGGCGAAGGCAGCUCGCUGGGACGGUACUGACGCUGAGACGCGAAAGCGUGGGGAGCAAACAGGG